ACAUAUUGUGCGCAAAAUGAUAAAAGGUUUGGGUCAUCAAUAUCGCAAAUGGAAGGUUUGGGUACAUAAAUCACAUAGUUAUGAAGGUUUGGCAACUUGCAGGAUUUAUAUGGGCCCCGCAUCAACGGCAUCCCAUUCCACCUACUAUUAUGGAAAGAGAAGGUCCGGCGGCUCUGUCUUUCUCUCUCUAGACUCUCAACAGAGUCUACCUUGCGUCCACUGUCCACACCAUUUCCAAGUCAUCACUUACCAAAACGUCUUCGUCCCGUUCUCCCCAAAUAUACUCUGUACGCCCGUUUAAUCCCUUACUUCUUUGUUGUUGAUUUCAAAAACAUAAUUUGUACAUGAAUUAAGCGUAAAUCGUGGUCUGGGCCGUUCGUCAUUAAAAUUAGGGAUCAAAUGAAGCUGAACGGGUAAGGUUUAAUGGAAAACAAGAUGUCAGUUGCAGAGCUGAAAGAGCGGCACAGGGCCGCCACUGAGACCGUCAAUGCCCUCAGAGAUAAAUUGAAACAGAAGCGUUUGCUCCUUCUCGAUACCGAUGGUAAUUAUGUAAAAUUUUUUUUAUCGUAAUUAUAGCUGUUAUGAUUUGGUUUGAAUUGG
rnacentral:lncRNA from 1 species